UUCCAUUUCCCUCAAAUGAAAACCUAACUCCAUAGUCCAAAUCCUCACACUAUACUACUCCCGCAGCCAAACUACUAAACCGCCUCCAAAUAUGAUAUUUUCUCUAAUAUCUCAUUCUUCUAUGGCUCUCUAAUUGAUCUAUACACUGUUAUUUCUACACCCAAAUAAGGAGUAUUUAACUAAAAGAUCCCAUAGAUUAAAAAUGGAGGAAACAAGGUCAGGUAACACUAGAAAGAGGAAUACAGCGUGGGUAGAAAUCGAAAGCUCAAUGCAAUUGCAAUUGCAAUUUCAAUUGAAGAAGAAGAUGAUUAUGCAGAAGAAGAAUCUAGAAAAAAGAAUAUUUGUACGAGUAGUAGAAUCAUAGAAUUAGGAAAUGGAAGCCAAGUGGUAUAUUAUCCAAGCAUCUUAGAUUAUAACGAAGCAUGGUAAUUAUUUGAUUACCUCAACAAUCAAAUUACAUGUACUCGCCCAACAAUCCGAAUUUUUGGUCACUCGUGCGUCCAGAUCAAUGCAUUUUUCUUUUCUUUUUUGGAGGUGAAGAAUUGCAGUUCUAGGCUUGUAAACGGUGAACUAGCGAGAUGAUUUGGUCUUUUCCGACCUUUUUUUUGUUUUAUGUAAUUUAUUUACAAUGUUAUGUGUAUUCCAUAUAUUCUAAUUUUAGUAAUGGAAAGAUCUUGUUAUU